AAUAGAUACCCCGGUAGUCCACGCCGUAAACGAUGCUUGCUAGCUGUUAUCAGUAUCGACCCUGGUAGUAGCGAAGCUAACGCGUUAAGCAAGCCGCCUGUGGAGUACGAGCGCAAGCUUAAAACAUAAAGGAAUUGACGGGGACCCGCACAAGCGGUGGAGCGUGUUGUUUAAUUCGAUGAUAAGCGAAGAACCUUACCAAGGUUUGACAUCCUGGGAAGGUCUCCGAAAGGAGACUGUGCCUUCGGGAAUCCAGUGACAGGUGCUGCAUGGCCGUCGUCAGCUCGUGUCGUGAGAUGUUUGGUUAAGUCCAUCAACGAGCGCAACCCUUUUGUCCAGUUGGAUUUCUCUGGACAGACUGCCCUGGUAACAGGGAGGAAGGAGGGGAUGAUGUCAGGUCCGUAUUGCCCUUACACCUUGGGCUACAAACACGCUACAAUGGCCGGUACAGAGGGCAGCCAACCCGCGAGGGGGAGCAAAUCCCACCAAAACCGGUCUCAGUUCGGAUUGCAGGCUGAAACUCGCCUGCA
rnacentral:rRNA from 1 species